AUCUACGGCCAUACCACUCUGCAUGUGCCUGAUCUUGGAAGCUAAGCAGGGUCGGGCCUGGUUAGUACUUGGAUGGGAGAAUUACCCUCAGCAUGGUGACAUGCUCUCCCUGAGGAGAUGGCUGAUU
rnacentral:rRNA from 1 species